CCUCUAGCUCAGUUGGUAGAGCAUGGUGUUUGCAACGCCAGGGUUGUGGGUUCGAUUCCCACGGGG
rnacentral:tRNA from 1 species